UACACGAGUGGCGAACGGGUGAGUAACACGUGGGUAAUCUGCCCUGCACUUCGGGAUAAGCCUGGGAAACCGGGUCUAAUACCGGAUAUGAACUCCUGCCGCAUGGUGGGGGUUGGAAAGUUUUUCGGUGCAGGAUGAGCCCGCGGCCUAUCAGCUUGUUGGUGGGGUAAUGGCCUACCAAGGCGACGACGGGUAGCCGGCCUGAGAGGGUGAUCGGCCACACUGGGACUGAGACACGGCCCAGACUCCUACGGGAGGCAGCAGUGGGGAAUAUUGCACAAUGGGCGAAAGCCUGAUGCAGCGACGCCGCGUGGGGGAUGACGGUCUUCGGAUUGUAAACCCCUUUCAGUAGGGACGAAGCGCAAGUGACGGUACCUGCAGAAGAAGCACCGGCUAACUACGUGCCAGCAGCCGCGGUAAUACGUAGGGUGCGAGCGUUGUCCGGAAUUACUGGGCGUAAAGAGCUCGUAGGCGGUUUGUCACGUCGUCUGUGAAAUCCCUCGGCUUAACCGGGGGCGUGCAGGCGAUACGGGCAGACUUGAGUACUACAGGGGAGACUGGAAUUCCUGGUGUAGCGGUGAAAUGCGCAGAUAUCAGGAGGAACACCGGUGGCGAAGGCGGGUCUCUGGGUAGUAACUGACGCUGAGGAGCGAAAGCAUGGGUAGCGAACAGGAUUAGAUACCCUGGUAGUCCAUGCCGUAAACGGUGGGCGCUAGGUGUGGGGUCCUUCCACGGACUCCGUGCCGUAGCUAACGCAUUA
rnacentral:rRNA from 1 species